rnacentral:lncRNA from 1 species
AUAAUUGGUUAUGAUAAAAAGGGUGCAUAUAUAACAUAUAAUACAUAUACGUAUAUAGAUAUGUGCAUAAUUGGUUUACAUUUAAAGAAGUUUAUGGGGGGGAUUAAACAUGGUCCAAGGUGUUGUCACACUCCAAACAUAGCAAUAAGUAUGCAUAUAUAUAAAAUAUAACAUAUAUGUGUGUGUGUAAUUGGUUCAAAGGAACUUGUAAUGCUAAUUAAAGGAAGUUUGUGGGGAGAGGGGUUUAACUUAGUCCAAGGUUGUUGUCACACUCCAAAAUUACUUCCAUGCAUAAUUCCUUUAUUAUUUUCCAAGGAAUUUUGUAUAUGUAUGUUGCAUAAUUGGUUCAAAGGAACUUGUAAUGCUAAUUAAAGGAAGUUUGUGGGGAGAGGGGUUUAACUUAGUCCAAGGUUGUUGUCACACUCCAAAAUUACUUCCAUGCAUAAUUCCUUUAUUAUUUUCCAAGGAAUUUUGUAUAUGUAUGUGCAUUAUUGGUUCAAAGGAACUUGUAAUGCUAAUUAAAGGAAGUUUGUGGGGAGAGGGGUUUAACUUAGUCCAAGGUUGUUGUCACACUCCAAAAUUACUGCCAUGCAUAAUUCCUUUAUUAUUUUCCAAGGAAUUUUGUAUAUGUAUGUGCAUAAUUGGUUCAAAGGAACUUGUAAUGCUAAUUAAAGGAAGUUUGUGGGGAGAGGGGUUUAACUUAGUCCAAGGUUGUUGUCACACUCCAAAAUUACUGCCAUGCAUAAUUCCUUUAUUAUUUUCCAAGGAAUUUUGUCCAAGUAGUCUCCUAACUUGGAUUCCAGUUAUUUUUAAUAUAAUGAAAUCUAUAUGUAUGUAUUUACAUCUCUUGACAGUUGAGGUGUUUAAAAAUUGUGCAAUUUUUAUGAGGUUAGAGGUAUUUUUCAAAUACUCUUUUGAAGAAAAUCUUUUGUGUUAAUAUUAACCUAAAAAAGGUACUCAGUUUCUAAAUUUCUCCCACCAUAUUUAAAGGUUUUUUUUUUAUAGUGACAGCUGUUGAUUUAAUCAAUUCUUUGUAAAAUUGUUUUUCUAAGUUAAUUAACUUUUUUCAAUUAAAAAUAAUGUUUUGAGUUCUAAAUUCUCUUUUCCUCCCUUCCCCCUCCAAGACAGUAAGGAAUCAAAUGUAGGUUAUACAUGUACAAAUAUGUAAAACAUUUCCAUAGUAGUCACUUUGUACAAGAUGAAACAAAGUAAAAAAAAAAAGCAUAAUUCAGUCUUUAUUCAAGCAAUAUCAAUUCUUUUUCUGGAGGCAUGUAAUAUGCAUCAUUAGUCCUUUGGCAUUGUUUUCAAUCAUUUUAUUGCUGAGAAUAACUAAGUCAUUCACUGUUCAUCAAAUAACAUUGCUUCAAAAAAUGUUCUGUUUCUGCUCAUUUUGAAUCUGUUCAUGUAAGUCUUUCCAUGUUUUUCUGGAAUUAUCCUACCUGUCAUUUCUGAUAUCACAGUAAUAUAUAACUUUAAUAUAUUAUUCUGAUAUUCUGAUAUCACAGGAUUCUGAUAUCACAGUAAUAUAUAGAAGCUAUAUAUAACAUUCCCCAGUUGAUGGAUUUUCCUUUAUUUCCAAUUCUUAGCCACCACAAAAAGAGCUAUAAGUUAAUUCACUCUUUAAGUCUCUUGAUAGACAUUUUUUUUUUUGUAAUAUUACAAUCAUUUCCUGCCCUUUGGUAGUUUUUCUUUUAUUUAUUUUUUUAUUAACACAGAAUUACAUUGUUAAUGUCUUACUGCCUGCUUUACAGUGAUGCAGUUAUUUUAAGAAAAUAUCUUCUGUAUCAAGAAGGUGUAAAAUCUCCAAUUUUGGUACAAUUUACUUACAUCCUAUAUUUUAACUACUAUUGUCAUAAAUGGAGUUCAGAAAUUAAUGCACUUUGUGACUUGUCAAGAAUUUGUUUUAAAUUAUAAUUUUUACCUAACAGCAAAAAAAAGGGGAUCAAUGAUUUUUUUUUAAUUAAACUACUUUGAUAUAUCAAUAUGGAUAAUACAGUGCAAAAAUAGGUCAGGUUUAUUUUUUGUUGUUGUUGAAAUAUAAACUAACUUAAAG